GAAACUGUUGUUUACUUUGGAGGGUCAGCGUAUAUAUACAACUGUGGUCGCGUUAAAUGGCUUGAAGCAGUGAGCUAUUGUAGAGGUCAAGGUGGGGACCUGACAUCUAUUGAAAAUGAAGCAGAAAACAAUUUUUUAAGACACGUAGCGGCAUUGAUAAGGACUACAGGACAAGUCUCUCCUGGUCAUUACUGGAUCGGACUGACAGACAUUAAUACUGAAGGUUUGUUCGAGUGGCAAUCUGGUCAACCACUAAUAUACAAUGACUGGUAUAAAGAUACACCUAUUCAACCAGAUUAUUUGGAUCAAUACGGAAAUUCAAUGGAUGUGGCCUGUGCUUCGCUUAAACCAAUUUACAGUUUUCAUUGGGGGGAUGAAAGAUGUACAUUUACCUGUAAUGCA